AUUUUCUUCUUAGUACAACUAAUAUUAUAACAAUACAAAAUGGGUAUCACUAAAAUUUUUCUAACUACUUCUCUUCUAAUAGUAUUCGCAAUUUCGAUUCCUUACAACGUUUCGGCAGUGUCCGGGAUCGAGCCAGCAAAAAAAUCUACUCUUUGUUUUCACCAAUGUGGUGGAAUAUAUGAUGAUCAUGCAUGCUUCACUGACUGCAUACAUAAAAAAUACGAUCAUGGAUUAUGUAUGAAUAAUCAAUGCUGUUGCUUCAAUGAUAAUUGAACGUAACUCUCGAUAUUUGGCGAAUUGAAUUUGGUAUUUUAAGUAUUAUGAAAAAAUCGUUGUUGCUUUUCAUUGUUUUCAACUUCUUGAAAAUGAAAUAAAAUUAUGAUUUAUUUUA